GCCGGCGUAGCUCAGCCUAGUAGAGCACACGCCUCGUAAGCGUGGGGUCGAGGGAUCGAAGCCCUCCGCCGGCU
rnacentral:tRNA from 1 species